rnacentral:ribozyme from 1 species
ACAGCUGUGAGAAGGACUUUGGUCUUGCGCCUGACAUUCGUCCG